AUACGGAGGAUCCGAGCGUUAUCCGGAUUUAUUGGGUUUAAAGGGUGCGCAGGCGGGAGAUUAAGUCGGCGGUGAAAUUUUGCAGCUCAACUGUAAAAGUGCCUUCGAAACUGGUUUCCUUGAGUGUAGAUGAAGUAGGCGGAAUUUGUGGUGUAGCGGUGAAAUGCACAGAUAUCACGAGGAACUCCGAUUGCGCAGGCAGCUUACUAAACUACUACUGACGCUCAGGCACGAAGGCGUGGGGAUCAAACAGGAUUAGAUACCCUGGUAGUCCACGCAGUAAACGAUGAUUACUAGCUGUUUGCGAUACAAUGUAAGCGGCUGAGCGAAAGCGUUAAGUAAUCCACCUGGGGAGUACGUUCGCAAGAAAGAAACUCAAAGGAAUUGACGGGG
rnacentral:rRNA from 1 species